rnacentral:rRNA from 1 species
CACGUAGGGGGCAAGCGUUGUCCGGAUUUAUUGGGCGUAAAGAGCUCGUAGGUGGUUCGGUAAGUCGGGUGUUAAACCCCCAGGCUCAACCUGGGGACGCCACUCGAUACUGCUGUGACUAGAGUCCGGUAGGGGAGCGUGGAAUUCCUGGGUGUAGCGGUGAAAUGCGCAGAUAUCAGGAGGAACACCAGCGGCGAAGGCGGCGCUCUGGGCCGGUACUGACGCUGAGGAGCGAAAGCGUGGGGAGCGAACAGG